ACAUGGUCGCAUGGUCAAGUUAUUAAAGUCACAACGGUGAAAGAUGAGCAUGCGUCCCAUUAGUUAGUUGGUAAGGUAACGGCUUACCAAGACUACGAUGGGUAGGGGUCCUGAGAGGGAGAUCCCCCACACUGGUACUGAGACACGGACCAGACUCCUACGGGAGGCAGCAGUGAGGAAUAUUGGACAAUGGAGGCAACUCUGAUCCAGCCAUGCCGCGUGCAGGAUGACGGUCCUAUGGAUUGUAAACUGCUUUUAUACGAGAAGAAACACUCCUUCGUGAAGGAGCUUGACGGUAUCGUAAGAAUAAGGAUCGGCUAACUCCGUGCCAGCAGCCGCGGUAAUACGGAGGAUCCAAGCGUUAUCCGGAAUCAUUGGGUUUAAAGGGUCCGUAGGCGGUUUAGUAAGUCAGUGGUGAAAGCCCAUCGCUCAACGGUGGAACGGCCAUUGAUACUGCUAGACUUGAAUUAUUAGGAAGUAACUAGAAUAUGUAGUGUAGCGGUGAAAUGCUUAGAGAUUACAUGGAAUACCAAUUGCGAAGGCAGGUUACUACUAAUAUAUUGACGCUGAUGGACGAAAGCGUGGGUAGCGAACAGGAUUAGAUACCCUGGUAGUCCACGCCGUAAACGAUGGAUACUAGCUGUUGGGAGCAAUCUCAGUGGCUAAGCGAAAGUGAUAAGUAUCCCACCUGGGGAGUACUUCG
rnacentral:rRNA from 1 species